rnacentral:rRNA from 1 species
GAUGAACGCUGGCGGCGUGCCUAAUACAUGCAAGUCGAGCGAAUGGAUUAAGAGCUUGCUCUUAUGAAGUUAGCGGCGGACGGGUGAGUAACACGUGGGUAACCUGCCCAUAAGACUAGGAUAACUCCGGGAAACCGGGGCUAAUACCGGAUAACAUUUUGAACCGCAUGGUUCGAAAUUGAAAGGCGGCUUCGGCUGUCACUUAUGGAUGGACCCGCGUCGCAUUAGCUAGUUGGUGAGGUAACGGCUCACCAAGGCAACGAUGCGUAGCCGACCUGAGAGGGUGAUCGGACGCACUGGGACUGAGACACGGCCCAGACUCCUACGGGAGGCAGCAGUAGGGAAUCUUCCGCAAUGGACGAAAGUCUGACGGAGCAACGCCGCGUGAGUGAUGAAGGCUUUCGGGUCGUAAAACUCUGUUGUUAGGGAAGAACAAGUGCUAGUUGAAUAAGCUGGCACCUUGACGGUACCUAACCAGAAAGCCACGGCUAACUACGUGCCAGCAGCCGCCGCAG